UCCCUGAUAGCUAGGUUGGUAGAGAAUCUGCCUGCAAUGCAGGAGACCCCGGUUCAAUCCCUGGGUUGGGAA
rnacentral:tRNA from 1 species